GCAUCUACUCUUUCUGCUUCUGAGAAGAGCAUUGUUUUAACCCUUUACAAUGCAGACCUUCCAGCUUGACACUGAGCGCCUCUGCCAGGCAGCUAAGCUGUACCAGCACACCAAGUCUGACUUUGGCCUGAAUGGCAUGAUCCAGCUUUCUGGUUCAUGUAAUAAUAUGUCACUAUCUGUACUGGGAUCGAUUGGAGGCUGUGCUAUUCUGAGAUUGGAAUUGUUGGAGGCUGCCCGGCUCCAUUCAUCUAAAGACAGCUCCAAGUCUGCCAUUUACAGCUUUCGUAACGCAAGCUCCCUUGGAAGAGAAUUUACUCAUGGUGGAGAACUCUUUGGCCCCAAAAUGGAAUCUGCCUCCCUGUCUUUUUAUGGCCAUCAUGGAGUGAAAUAUGUGGAGGCACAAUUUGUGCAUGACAGCAGCAGCAAGACUGUACAUACUGCUGCUAUGCAGCCCAUCACCAUACCACCUUCGUGUGCCUUUGAUGAUCGUGAGGCCAAUGGUAUAGUGACAUUGUCAACAAAAACUGCAGCGGCGCUGGUCAAGUGGUUGAAGCAGCAUACAAAAACCUGCCAGUCACCAGUUAAGGUUUCUAUCAGUGAAAUCUUGGGUGUGAUGGUUCUUUCAGUUGGAGAUGCUAGCAUGACUGUUGAUGUCACUCCGGUGAAUGUUUCAUCUGGCAAGAAGACACGGGGUGGGAAUAAGGCUAGUGACUCUGGGACUAUCUCUGCAGACGCAACGGUGCAUGUUAAUGGACAUUGUUUGAUUAGAUCUUUGAUUGUAUGUAAAGUUCCUGGGUGUACAACUCCAAGAGUCAAGUUUCACGCCUGUGGCAUAUUAGAGGUAGAUGGGGCCCCCGUUAAACAGGGCGAGUUGACACAGGUAAAAUUGUCAGUGGCCCUCCUGAACGUGGACUCUUCAACUGGCAGAGUUUUGAAGGAACCUGUGGUGACUGGAGCAAGUAAAGAUCGAGGGGCUUCAAAGUCAGAAGACGCGGACGGUAGCCCUCCAGUACCAGAUCAUCCCAAAGAAUCCCUCACUAGCGACUCUGAUUCCUCAGUUCCUGGGCCACGAAGUACUGACCUUUCCUCUCUUACCCACACCCCUUCAGAUAGAUUUUCGAGCGACCUUAGAUCAGGGUGUGGGGGGCAACAGUUCCUCAAGAGACCACCCCCUAAGAAAGACAGGGAACCCACCACUAAGCGCCCCAAGCUACAUUUUAACCACUUCCCAUAAAUGAAGAGUCAUUGGUCAGACGUGUUCCUCCCACUCAUUGUGGGAGGAAUGUCUGCUGUUCCCUUUAUCUGGUGUUUAAUUUUUAGAACCCUUUACCUACCAAUAGAAUGUGACUGGAGAUGCUGGAUUUUUGUAUAUGGAUCAAUGAUUUGGCACAUAACCAUGUUUAUGUCACUAUUGUUUAAACAUAAACAUGGGAUGAUUGGCUGGUUUAAGUUGUGUAGUGCAGUUGCCAUAUGUCUGAUUAUAGUUUUGGCUCUUUUAGAACAAUACUGCCCAUAUGAGAUGUACAUUGUUCCUGUUAUAUUCAUAAUAAAUAUAGUUUUGCUUUCCA
rnacentral:tmRNA from 1 species